rnacentral:misc_RNA from 1 species
CAAAAUCCAAAAGUUUGGGGUGCCAGCUGAGCGAUUGGUCUUUCGGGGCCUUUCUGUUCGCUGCCCUCAAAUCUUUUACCUACCCCAAAAACCACUGUGCACUGUGAACAAAGCUUCACCGAACAAGUCUUUUGGCUUUUUUGGGGAGCUUUAACCCAUUUUUACACGCUUACAUUUUUUGACAACUGUAUUUCAUUUUCUAUGGUUUAGCUUUCGAGCGAUCAUGUAAAAUAAACACAAUGUUAAUA